CGAGCGGACGAAUCAAAAGCUUGCUUUUGGAUCGUUAGCGGCGGACGGGUGAGUAACACGUGGGCAACCUGCCCUGUAGACGGGGAUAACACCGAGAAAUCGGUGCUAAUACCGGAUAACACGAAAGACCGCAUGGUCUUUCGUUGAAAGGCGGCGCAAGCUGUCGCUACAGGAUGGGCCCGCGGCGCAUUAGCUAGUUGGUGAGGUAACGGCUCACCAAGGCGACGAUGCGUAGCCGACCUGAGAG
rnacentral:rRNA from 1 species